GCCGGGGUAGCCAAGUCCGGACAAAUCCGCCCAGCGGAGUCCACCGGCGCUGGUCUUGAAGCCCCAGGGGCAGGCGAACCAGUGCUCCUCUGGGAGCUCAUGGGUUCAAAUCCCAUCCCCGGCGCCA
rnacentral:tRNA from 2 species